rnacentral:rRNA from 1 species
GAUGGGAAGUUUUACUUUCUGUAUUAAAGCUAACGCGUUAAACAUUCCGCCUGGGGACUACGGUCGCAAGAUUAAAACUCAAAGGAAUUGACGGGGACCCGAACAAGCGGUGGAGCAUGUGGUUUAAUUCGAUGCAACGCGAAAAACCUUACCACUCCUUGACAUGGAAAUUAUACCUAUUCGAAGGGAUAGGGUCGGUUCGGCCGGGUUUCACACAGGUGUUGCAUGGCUGUCGUCAGCUCGUGUCGUGAGAUGUUGGGUUAAGUCCCG